UUUGCUUCUCGGCCUUUUGGCUAAGAUAAAGUGUAGUAUCUGUUCUUAUCAGUUUAAUCUUAUCUGAUACGCCCUGGGGACCAUAUAGUGAAUGGAUUUUUGAGAACAGGGACUGAUUUUGAAGCUUUCUUCUGUGGCCCUUUGCAUUGACCUGAUAGGGCAGUAUCUUUGGGUACAGUGCACCAAAG